AUGGCAGCUUGGGCCGCGCUGCGCCGCCUCCGCUCACCGCGGCUCCGCCUCGCCUCCACCUUCACCCACCACGGCGCCGCCGCCGUCUCCGCCACCGACGCGUUCAUCCAUGUCCAAGACCCGAACCGCCGCAUCGCGGAGCUGGCCGCCGCGGGGCGCGUCCCCGACGCCCGCAGGCUGUUCGACCGGACGCCGGACCGGGACGUGGUGUCCUGGACGGCGAUGGUCGCGGCGUACGCGCGCCAGGGCCAGCUCCACGAGGCCAGCGCGCUGUUCCACCGCCCCGACGCGCGCCGGAACGUGGUCACCUGGACGGCGCUCCUCUCCGGCUACGCGCGGGCGCGCCGCGCCGACGAGGCCAGGGCGCUGUUCGACCGGAUGCCCGAGAGGAACGUCGUGUCGUGGAACACGAUGCUGGAGGCCUACGCCUCCGCUGGCCGCACGGGGGCCGCGUGCGCGCUGUUCGACAGCAUGCCGGUGAGGGACACCGGCUCCUGGAACAUCCUUCUGGCCGCGCUGGUGCGGUCUGGGACCAUGGACGAGGCACGGAACCUGUUUGAGAGAAUGCCCGAGAGGAAUGUGAUGUCGUGGACGACGAUGGUCGCCGGCCUUGCACGGAGCGGGAGCGUGGACGAGGCUCGAGUGCUGUUUGAUGGCAUGCCGGAGAGGAAUGUUGUUUCCUGGAAUGCCAUGAUCUCUGGAUACGCCCGGAACCUCAGGAUCGAUGAAGCUCUUGAUCUGUUCAUGAAUAUGCCCGAGAGGGACGUGGCUUCUUGGAACAUCAUGAUCACCGGUUUUAUCCAGAACAAAGAUUUGAAGAAGGCACAGGAGCUCUUUGACGAGAUGCCUAAAAGGAAUGUAGUCAGCUGGACUACUAUGAUGAAUGGUUGCUUGCAAGGUAAUGAGAGCGAAAUGGCACUGCAGGUAUUUAACGGUAUGCUCGUUGAUGGGAUCAGACCAAACCAGGUGACGUUUUUGGGUGCGGUUGAUGCGUGCAGCAAUAUCGCCGGACUCAGCGAAGGGCAGCAGGUGCAUCAGAUGAUAUGCAAAACACCAUUUCAGUUUGAUAAUUUUAUCGAGUCCACACUCAUGAAUUUAUAUGGCAAAUGUGGAGAAAUUAGAUUGGCAAGGAAGGUGUUUGAUCUCUCAGGGGAGAAGGACGUAAUAUCUUGGAAUGGCAUUAUUGCAGCAUAUGCACAUCAUGGGGCUGGUGUAGAAGCUAUAGCUUUGUAUGAAAAGAUGCAAGAAAAUGGGUAUAAGCCUAAUGAUGUCACAUACGUGGGAUUGCUCUCAGCAUGUAGCCACUCUGGUUUGGUCGACGAAGGGCUUAGGAUAUUUGAAUACAUGGCAAAGGAUAAGUCCAUUGCAGUGCGGGAUGAGCAUUACACUUGCUUGAUUGAUCUCUGUAGCCGAGCCGGGCGACUUGAUGAUGCCAAAAGAUUAAUCAACGGUCUUAAACUUAAGCCUACAUCCAGUACUGUAUGGAGUGCGCUUCUAGGUGGGUGUAACGCACAUGGAAAUGAAAGCAUCGGUGAUUUGGCAGCAAGAAAUCUCUUAGAAGCAGAGCCUGAUAAUGCUGGAACCUACACUCUCUUGUCUAACAUUUAUGCUUCUGCUGGUAAGUGGAAAGAAGCAGCAAAGAUUCGGUCUCAGAUGAAUGAUCGAGGACUAAAGAAACAGCCGGGAUGUAGUUGGAUUGAGCUGGCAAAUAAGGUGCAUGUAUUUGUAGCACGUGACAAGUCCCACAGUGAGUCUGAGUUGAUUUAUAGUCUGCUGCAAGAUAUUCAUCACAUGAUGAGGAUGGCUGGCAGUGAUCCCAGGGACCACAUGCAGCUUAUGGAUGAGGAUCUGGUGGAUCUUCAAGCAUAA
rnacentral:rRNA from 1 species